AGAUUGAACGCUGGCGGCAGGCCUAACACAUGCAAGUCGAGCGGUAGAGAGGUGCUUGCAUCUCUUGAGAGCGGCGGACGGGUGAGUAAUGCCUAGGAAUCUGCCUAGUGGUGGGGGAUAACGUUCGGAAACGGACGCUAAUACCGCGUACGUCCUACGGGAGAAAGCGGGGGACCUUCGGGCCUCGCGCCAUUAGAUGAGCCUAGGUCGGAUUAGCUAGUUGGUGAGGUAAUGGCUCACCAAGGCGACGAUCCGUAACUGGUCUGAGAGGAUGAUCAGUCACACUGGAACUGAGACACGGUCCAGACUCCUACGGGAGCAGCAGUGGGGAAUAUUGGACAAUGGGCGAAAGCCUGAUCCAGCCAUGCCGCGUGUGUGAAGAGGUCUUCGGAUUG
rnacentral:rRNA from 1 species